rnacentral:snRNA from 1 species
AUCGCUUCUCGGCUCUCUAUGAGCUAAGAUCAAGCGUAGUACCUGUUCUUUACAACUCAUGAUUUGUAAGCCAUUCUCAUGCUUUUGGGGGGCCUGAUUUGUGAUCUUUG